GUUGUCUGAUUUAGACCUUCUUUAACGUGAAGAGAAGAAAAUGGCGACCACGUUGCUGGUGUCGGUCGGACUGUCGGGUAAAGUGACGAUUAUCAUUACCGGCUUACGAAAAGUCGAUAAUAACUCGUGCCACAUACCCGUACCUAAACAGCAGUGCAAACGUGGAGUAUAGAUUGUCGAUUUUUCGUCGGGGAGAAGGAAACAGUUUUCCACAGUUUUAGUUAUUAAAGUAAGAACCGUAGGUCGUAGAAUGAAAAAAACUACUGCCUUUGAGUUCUGUAAGACGUAAUUAAUAGUACUCGAGUAGCCCCAUCAAUUCGAACAGUUGCUUGUAAUUUUGGCCUCGACGGAAUUUAAGACAGGACCUUCGUCAAGAGCAAAUGAUAAAUAGGUUCCCAGCCUACAACAUUUUGUUUUAGGUGGAACCGUGGAAUGGUGUGGAUUACAAGUAGUGAAGCCAUAAAUGGGAAAUGGUAUUGCUUUAACACACAAAAUUUCUUGAAUCUUUGUUUAGUUAUUAACUGUGUUGUGUGAAGUAGAGAAGGCAAGUUCUGCACAACAAGACAUUUAGAAAUGAGAAUGAAAAUAUUUGGGUUACGACCGGCAUGGGCGCAAAUACUGAUUCAUUGUAAGAUGCAUCUAUGUCGAAGAAACUGGCAGUCUGGAAGAAAUUGACGGCGGUGAUAAUAAAUAAAUAAAAAU
rnacentral:lncRNA from 1 species